ACGUAUGGUGCAAGCGUUAUCCGGAUUUACUGGGUGUAAAGGGAGCGUAGACGGUCGUGUAAGUCUGAUGUGAAAACCCGGGGCUCAACCCCGGGACUGCAUUGGAAACUAUGCGACUAGAGUGUCGGAGAGGUAAGCGGAAUUCCUAGUGUAGCGGUGAAAUGCGUAGAUAUUAGGAGGAACACCAGUGGCGAAGGCGGCUUACUGGACGAUCACUGACGUUGAGGCUCGAAAGCGUGGGGAGCAAACAGG
rnacentral:rRNA from 1 species